rnacentral:rRNA from 1 species
UGGGGAAUAUUGCACAAUGGGCGCAAGCCUGAUGCAGCCAUGCCGCGUGUGUGAAGAAGGCCUUCGGGUUGUAAAGCACUUUCAGCGAGGAGGAAGGUGGUGGACUUAAUACGUUCAUCAAUUGACGUUACUCGCAGAAGAAGCACCGGCUAACUCCGUGCCAGCAGCCGCGGUAAUACGGAGGGCGCAAGCGUUAAUCGGAAUUACUGGGCGUAAAGCGCACGCAGGCGGUUUGUUAAGUCAGAUGUGAAAUCCCCGGGCUCAACCUGGGAACUGCAUUUGAAACUGGCAAGCUAGAGUCUCGUAGAGGGGGGUAGAAUUCCAGGUGUAGCGGUGAAAUGCGUAGAGAUCUGGAGGAAUACCGGUGGCGAAGGCGGCCCCCCUGGACGAAGACUGACGCUCAGGUGCGAAAGCGUGGGGAGCAAACAGGAUUAGAUACCCUGGUAGUCCACGCUGUAAACGAUGUCGAUUUGGAGGUUGUGCCCUUGAGGCGUGGCUUCCGGAGCUAACGCGUUAAAUCGACCGCCUGGGGAGUACGGCCGCAAGGUU